UGAUUUUUGGAGUUCAUCUUGAUGAAUAAUACGUCACAAUUUCUUAGGGACUUUUGCUUGGUAUUUAACAGUCUUUAUGGUUUUUGAUCUGUCCACCAUCAACAUUUCCAUGGAUUUUAUUGUGGAAAAAGUGGAAAAAAUGGAUUGUAACAACAAAGAAUUAUUAAAGAGUUUUAAAUUGGUGUCAAAGGAAAACGGCAAACCGCAUAAAGUCACAUGAUCAUGGCUUUGCUGUUUGUGGUUCAGAUUUUAACGGCAAGAGGCCCUUCUUGCGAGGAGCGACGACACUUCGCAAUGGCGGCAAAUUUGACAGGUGUCAGCGUGCAAAAUAUAUAUGACAAAGGCAUUGCACUGCGUGUCUGCGUCCAAACUUGAUGAAACUGUCGAAAAACUUAUUUUGUCAUCAAUGGAUAUGAAAAUAAACUGGAAUGCCUGCAAGACUCGGCAAGAAAGCAUACAAUAGCAUGAUAACAUCAAUACGGGAAUAUAUGAGUAAAAAGUGAAAAGUUAAAACCACUGCUGAAACCGUGUUCUUAAAAUUGGAGGAAGGUAGGUGAAAUAUUGUACAGUCCAUGGAAUAAUAACAAAUGUGUUAACAUGGGAUGUCAAUGUCAUACUGCCAAUUCAGGGGGGGUUCAAUUUCAGCACUUAAGUCCAGGAUUAAGGAUUUGGCAUUUAUGCCAUGUUGACUGUCAUGGUAUUUUAAUACAAAAAAAAACAGUAGAGAUUGUUUCCUGUAAGAUAAAGUGCAUACAAACACUUAUAUUGUCAUGAAUCAUGUAAUUCAUGAUCAUUUCUGUCAAAUUCUGUUUAUUGAUUGAUAUAUUGAUUUACUUCAUACUGAUUCUCCACAUUUACAUCAACUCACCAAGUAAUUCACUAUUUAUUUAGUUUAGUGUGGAGCUAUAAGACCAUUUAUGGAAAUGUGACAAAAUUUGGUUAUUAUUUCAAACCGUGAUAUGAAUAUUUCUUUAAAUUAGAUUAUUUAGUGGUUUCUUGCAUUUUGGCAAAUGGCAAGUAAUGAUUUGAAUAUGUGUUGGCUUAUCUUAAUUUGUUUAUUAAUGUCAGAUGCUGCAGUUGGCAAAAUUGUUUACUUAAGUUGUUCAAACUAUGGUUAAUAGAAGUGUUACAUACUGCAAUAUUCUCAUCAUACAAAAUGAGAUGAUUUUUAAUACAUCAUGUUUCAUGUAAAAGUGGACAUUCUAUGCUAGCAAACAUCUAUGAAGAUGGAGCCUGGAUGAGGGCAAAUAACAAUAUGUUUGAAUGCUAUUGCUCUUCUUUAUUGUCAGUACCUAUUGAUAUUAUAUCAUUGAUAUUAUAUUUUAAACAAUUUCCA